rnacentral:rRNA from 1 species
CGUAACUAUAACGGUCCUAAGGUAGCGAAAUUCCUUGUCGGGUAAGUUCCGACCCGCACGAAAGGCGUAAUGAUUUGAGCGCUGUCUCGACAAUGCAUCCGGUGAAAUUGAAGUACCAGUGAAGAUGCUGGUUACCUGCGCCAGGACGGAAAGACCCCAUGGAGCUUUACUCCAGUUUGGUACUGGGAUCCGGUACUGCAUGUACAGGAUAGGUGGGAGGCUGUGAAAUAGUAACGCCAGUUAUUAUGGAGCCGCUGUUGGGAUACCACCCUUGCAGUAUUGGGUUUCUAACCAGCCGCCGUGACCCGGCGGUGGGACAAUGCCAGACGGGGAGUUUGACUGGGGCGGUCGCCCCCGAAAGGGUAUCGGAGGCGCCCAAAGGUUCCCUCAGAAUGGACGGAAACCAUUCGAAGAGUGCAAAGGCAGAAGGGAGCUUGACUGCGACACCGACGGGUGGAGCAGGUACGAAAGUAGGGCUUAGUGAUCCGGUGGUAUUAAGUGGGAAUGCCAUCGCUCAACGGAUAAAAGCUACCCUGGGGAUAACAGGCUUAUCACUCCCAAGAGUUCACAUCGACGGAGUGGUUUGGCACCUCGAUGUCGGCUCAUCGCAUCCUGGGGCUGUAGUAGGUCCCAAGGGUUGGGCUGUUCGCCCAUUAAAGCGGUACGCGAGCUGGGUUCAGAACGUCGUGAGACAGUUCGGUCCCUAUCCGGCGUGGGCGUAGGAUAUCUGAGAGGAGCUGUCCUUAGUACGAGAGGACCGGGAUGGACGGGCCGCUGGUGCACCGGUUAGACUGCCAAGUCUAUAGCCGGGUAGCCAAGCCCGGAAGGGAUAAACGCUGAAGGCAUCUAAGCGUGAAGCCCCCCUCAAGAUGAGAUAUCCCAUCCGAAAGGAGUAAACCCCCUUGAAGACGACGAGGUUGAUAGGGCAGGGGUGGAAGUGUGGUAACACAUGGAGCUGACUGCUACUAAUAGGGUGAGGGCUUGACCAA